UACGAGAGGGUGCAAAUGCUAUCCGGAAUUACUGCACUUAAAGACUGCGUAUUCGGUGUCCAAGAUCACAAGUGACAGUUUGCAACUUAACUGGAAAAUUGCUUUUGAUACUGCACUGCUUGACUCAGGUUGAGAGCUGAUUGACUGUGCCAUGGAACGUCGAAAGGCUUACAUAUGCCAUAGAACACCGAUUGCUAACGCGGCUGACUGCACCUGCAUUGAUACUGAGGCACGACCGCUUGGGGAGCGAACAGGAUUAAAUACCCUGGAAGUCCACGCCCUAAACGAUGCUCACUCGAUGUGUGGCCUCAAAGAUGCGCAUCCGAGCGAAAGUGUUAACUGAGCCGCCUGUCCACUACGUUCGCAAGAAUGAAACUCAAAGGAAUGGUCGGGGGUCCGCACAACUCGCUGGAGCAUGUGGUUUUAUUCGAUGAUACUCGAGGAACCUUACCUGGGCUCGAACAUUACUCAAUGUGACCUGAAAGGGGAAAUUCCUUUGGGACAGCGUACUGAGGUAAUGCAUGGUUGUCGUCAGCUCGUCACGUGAGGUGCUUGGCUAAGUCUCGCAACGAUCGCAACCAUUGUCUAUAGUCGGCAUCAUUUCGGAUGGGAACUCUAGAGAGACUGCCGGCUUAAGCUGUGAGGAAGGUGGGGAGGACGUCAAAUCCUCAUGGCCUUUUUUCGCAGGGAGACGCACUUGCUCCAAUGGCGGGUACAAAGGGGUGCUAACUCGCGAGCAGGAGGCAGUAUCAGAAAACCGGUCCCAGGUCGGAAUGAAGUGUGCAACCCGAAAUCAUGAAGUUGGAAUUGCUAGUAAUUGAGCAUCAAUCAUGGUGCGGUGAAUUCGUGGACGGUGCUU
rnacentral:rRNA from 1 species